rnacentral:rRNA from 1 species
UACGAAGGGGGCUAGCGUUGUUCGGAAUUACUGGGCGUAAAGCGUGCGCAGGCGGCUUCUCAAGUCAGGGGUGAAAGCCCAGAGCUCAACUCUGGAAUUGCCUUUGAGACUGAGAGGCUUGAGUGCGGGAGAGGUGAGUGGAAUUCCCAGUGUAGAGGUGAAAGUUCGUAGAUAUUGGGAAGAACACCGGUGGCGAAGGCGGCUCACUGGCCCGUAACGUGACG